rnacentral:lncRNA from 1 species
CUAUAUUUUUUUGUCACUCUUUUACUUCGCAUUUCAUAAAGACUAAGCUUCAUGUCUUUCAAGCUGUAGCUUUCAGAGACAUGACAUGUUAACUGAGCUCUGUAAGUAGUUCUCUGCUUUCAGGGUGGUUUGCAUGACACUGAUGGUGUAAUUUUAAACUACAAUACCUUGUUCAUCUUUGUUGUAGCAUGGAUUUCCAUUGCCUAUUUGUAUUGGAUAAACAAAAGAAAAAAAAUUAUUUCCUGUUGUCUCUUUUUUUUUUUUUUGUUACUAGGAAUUUAACUUAACUGGUAGUAAUUGCAUCAACCUUACUUUUGCACUACAUAAUGUUGUAAACUGGGAAAUUCCUCAACACAUGCAGUGUGGGUUUUGUACUUUCCUUUGCCAUAUCUAGUGGUUGUAGUCCCAGGUAGCAUUUUUGCCUGGAUGAAAUCUGUCUGAUCCAACACGGACUCAUCUAGGUCUGGUUUUGGCCAAAACCAGCUCCAAUGGCUUUGUUCCCCUAUCUGUAAGAUGAUAAUGCACUGGCCUGCUUCUAAAAGUUAUUUCAGAUUUACAGAAGUGAACAACACAUUCUUUACUAGUAGCGUUUAUUGAGUGUUGCACCUCUGGAGCUUGGAUUAAGGUGAAAAUGUUUUCCCUGUGCUCAUUUGUUCUUCUGAAAUAGAACUGCUUUGUAUUUAUUUUUAGAAGACAGCAUGGAUUUUGAGGUUCAACAAAGCACUUCCUUCCUGCCCUUGAGAACAGCUGUCUGAUUUUGAUGACCCUUUAGGGCACCAAGCUGUCCCAAAUACAGAAGAGUUUCUUGCAUGACUCAUCCUGGAAUCACAGCUCCCAAGAAUAUGCACUGGGGAGUGAACUGUAAGUUUCUCCAGAAUUCUGCUGGUACCUGUUCAUCCUUGAGGAAGAGGACAGACCCACAUUAGUGUAACAACAGACAAACAGCAAAAGGAGAAUGGGAUUUCAUUACUUAGUUUUUGCUCUGAUACUUUUUCAGUCUACCUCAUAGUAUACAUGUGU